rnacentral:lncRNA from 7 species
ACCUGUCAGGUGCUGAGUCAGAGCUCCAGGACAUGCCUUCCUGUCAUAACUGAUGGAUGGGAAUCUAAGCUCUUAGCUCCCUUGAACUCCCACGCUGCCUCUUCCGGCCAUGCAUACUGUCAGCCCUGGUGCUGAUGCGUGUGGUGCAGUGCGUCGUGUUGCAGGAAAGCCAUGCCUCGUGUGAAAGUGGUACUUCAACCUAUACACACUGUGUAACAGGAUUGGCAAGUGCAACUCAGUGGGAUCUUGGUGUGAUUUGAGGCAAGACUUUGAAGUACUAUUUCAGUGCCCUAGAGGUGAACCACGGAGACAAGAGAAACAACAUUUUCACUCCAUGUCGCCAUAACGUACUUUUCUAAAUCAUCAAAAUUGCACUGUUCCAUGGAAAGUUGAAAUUUCUGGGAGCAUACCUCCUGGAAGGCAUUUGGGACAGAGUGUUUCCAACUGGAAAAAAAAAUCUGGCAUGUCCAUAAAUUCUGUAUCUCAGUAGGAAAAGAGUGGGAAAAAGCACUUUUGUAACACAUGAGUAAAUUCCUGCAUGAAUUGUAAAAUAAAAGAGUUCAUUUUACUUCUACUCUACUGCAAUAGAAGGCUAAAAUGAAGGAAAAAACCAACAAUGGGAUGUCAUUCAGUAUUCCAGUAAUAAUCUCAGAAUAGGAGACAAUUAGAAAACAAUGCAGUAACCAUAAAUUAUCCCAGCAGUGACUGAAAUUUGUGCCCAUACUCAUGGAAAAUGAGGGAUGUAACUGUGGUACUUCAGAUUGAAGAGAAUUAAUUAUUUAUUGGUUUUCCAUAGGGGCCAGGGUACUGAAGGAAAAGAAGAAAUUCACAUGCUUGGAAAGAGGAAAUAUACAGUUAACAGAAUAUGAGAAAUAUUUGUGACAGCACAAAUUUAUGUGCUCUUAUUGAGAAAAUGGGACUUAAGUGAGGUGUAAGGAGUACACAAAUCUUGUGCCAGAACUCUGCACAGGGGUGAAUUUCAUCCAGCAUGAAUAAGGGUCUUUCAUUUACUUUGUUUAUUUUCUGCAGUCACUGCGCCCAAUUCCUAACAGUGUGUUUUUCAAAUGGUGUUUUCAUACAGCAUUGUGCCACCUUGAAAUCAAAUACUGAGAGCCGUUUUUGUAGGAAAGUCAUUAUAUCGCUUGAAUUUAAAUCAGCAUGUUGCGUCUGUGUAUUACUAAAACAUUAAUAAAUAAAAUAAACAUU